ACAACGGGUGGAGCUUGCGUUUAAUUGGAUUCAACGCCGGAAAUCUUACCGGGACCGACAGCAAUAUGAAGGCCAGGCUGAAGACUUUGCCGGAUUAGCUGAGAGGUGGUGCAUGGCCGUCGUCAGUUCGUACUGUGAAGCAUCCUGUUAAGUCAGGCAACGAGCGAGACCCACGCCCACAGUUGCCAGCGUACUCUCUGGAGUGACGGGUACACUGUGGGGACCGCCGCUGCUAAAGCGGAGGAGGAAUGGGCAACGGUAGGUCAGUAUGCCCCGAAUAUCCCGGGCUACACGCGAGCUACAAUGGUUGGUACAAUGGGUAUCUACCCCGAAAGGGGACGGGAAUCUCCUAAAACCAAUCUUAGUUCGGAUUGAGGGCUGCAACUCGCCCUCAUGAAGCUGGAAUCCGUAGUAAUCGCGUUUCAACAGAACGCGGUGAAUACGUCCCUGCUCCUU
rnacentral:rRNA from 1 species